GAUGAACGCUGGCGGCGUGCCUAAUACAUGCAAGUCGAGCGAACGGACGAGAAGCUUGCUUUUCUGAUGUUAGCGGCGGACGGGUGAGUAACACGUGGAUAACCUACCUAUAAGACUGGGAUAACUUCGGGAAACCGGAGCUAAUACCGGAUAAUAUUUUGAACCGCAUGGUUCAAAAGUGAAAGACGGUCUUGCUGUCACUUAUAGAUGGAUCCGCGCUGCAUUAGCUAGUUGGUAAGGUAACGGCUUACCAAGGCAACGAUGCAUAGCCGACCUGAGAGGGUGAUCGGCCACACUGGAACUGAGAAACGGUCCAGACUCCUACGGGAGGCACCAGUAGGGAAUCUUCCGCAAUGGGCGAAAGCCGGACGGAGCAACGCCGCGUGAGUGAUGAAGGUCUUCGGAUCGUAAAACUCUGUUAUUAGGGAAGAACAUAUGUGUAAGUAACUGUGCACAUCUUGACGGUACCUAAUCAGAAAGCCACGGCUAACUACGUG
rnacentral:rRNA from 1 species